rnacentral:rRNA from 1 species
GGUGAACGCUGGCGGCGUGCUUAAGACAUGCAAGUCGAACGGCAGUCUUCGGACUGUAGUGGCGCACGGGUGAGUAACGCGUAACUGACCUACCCCAAAGUCGCGGAUAACGAUUCGAAAGAAUCGCUAAUACGUGAUGUGCUGUCAGAUUGUGUUCUGCCAGUAAAGAUUGAUUGCUUUGGGAUGGGGUUGCGUUCCAUCAGCUAGUUGGUGGGGUAAAGGCCCCCCAAGGCGACGACGGAUAGCCGGCCUGAGAGGGUGGCCGGCCACAGGGGCACUGAGAAACGGGUCCCACUCCUACGGGAGGCAGCAGUUAGGAAUCUUCCACAAUGGGCGAAAGCCUGAUGGAGCGACGCCGCGUGAGGGAUGAAGGUCUUCGGAUCGUAAACCUCUGAAUCAGGGACGAAGGACACUUCGGUGGGAUGACGGUACCUGAGUAAUAGCACCGGCUAACUCCGUGCCAGCAGCCGCGGUAAUAC